UCGCUAGAGGAUCAACUCAUUGCUGCCAACGCUCUGCUGGAGGCUUAUGGUAAUGCCAAGACUGUGAGGAAUGACAACUCAUCUCGUUUUGCAACUCAGUGAGGGUAAACUCAUUAGGAUUCACUUCGGAUCCACUGGAAAACUGGCUUCAGCUGAUAUUGAAACUUAUGUGCUGGAAAAGUCAAGAGUAACAUUCCGGUUGUCUGCUGAGACCAGCUAUAUAUCUUCUGACCAGCUAAUGACCGUACAAAAGCCAGAGCUGCUUGAGGCCCUGCUUAUCACCACCAAUCCUUAUAACUAUCCAAACGAUCAGCCAGCGGGGAACCACUGUCAAGAGUAUCAAUGACGUAGAGGAGUUCAUUGCCACAGAUCGCUGAAGAGAAAAUAAGCAUCUACAAGCUGACAGGUGCUGUGAUGCAUCAUGGAAACAUGAAAUUCAAGCAGAAGCAGAGAGAGGAGCAAGCUGAACUUGAUGGCACUGAAGGAGAGGGCAAUACAUUCUUCACAUAGGGCCAGGGCAAGGAAACAGCCGAGUAUAUCCUCAAGCCUAGAUCACCACAGGAAGUAAUCAUAAAAUAUGAUUACUUGCAGCUGUUUUACUGCUGUAAUAAA